rnacentral:rRNA from 1 species
UACGGGGGGGGCAAGCGUUGUUCGGAAUUACUGGGCGUAAAGGGCUCGUAGGCGGCCAACUAAGUCAGACGUGAAAUCCCUCGGCUUAACCGGGGAACUGCAUCUGAUACUGGAUGGCUUGAGUUCGGGAGAGGGAUGCGGAAUACCAGGUGUAGCGGUGAAAUGCGUAGAUAUCUGGAGGAACACCGGUGGCGAAGGCGGCAUCCUGGACCGACACUGACGCUGAGGAGCGAAAGCCAGGGGAGCAAACGGG